AUUGAACGCUGGCGGCAGGCCUAACACAUGCAAGUCGAGCGGAUGAAGGGAGCUUGCUCCUGGAUUCAGCGGCGGACGGGUGAGUAAUGCCUAGGAAUCUGCCUGGUAGUGGGGGAUAACGUCCGGAAACGGGCGCUAAUACCGCAUACGUCCUGAGGGAGAAAGUGGGGGAUCUUCGGACCUCACGCUAUCAGAUGAGCCUAGGUCGGAUUAGCUAGUUGGUGGGGUAAAGGCCUACCAAGGCGACGAUCCGUAACUGGUCUGAGAGGAUGAUCAGUCAAACUGGAACGGGAAAACGUCCCAGACUCUUAGGGAAGGAAGAAGGGGGGAAAAUUGGAAAAGGGGGGAAAGCCUGAUCAAGCCAUGCCGGGUGUGGGAAGAAGGUCUUGGGAUUGUAAACCCCUUUAAGUUGGGAGGAAGGGAAGUAAGUUAAUACCUUGCUGUUUUGCGGUAACAACAAGAAUAAGAACCGCCUAACUUCGU
rnacentral:rRNA from 1 species